rnacentral:rRNA from 1 species
AUUGAACGCUGGCGGCAUGCUUUACACAUGCAAGUCGAACGGCAGCACGGGUGCUUGCACCUGGUGGCGAGUGGCGGACGGGUGAGUAAUACAUCGGAACGUGUCCAGAAGAGGGGGAUAACGCAUCGAAAGAUGUGCUAAUACCGCAUAUACUCUAAGGAGGAAAGCAGGGGAUCGAAAGACCUUGCGCUUUUGGAGCGGCCGAUGUCUGAUUAGCUAGUUGGUGAGGUAAAGGCUCACCAAGGCGACGAUCUGUAGCGGGUCUGAGAGGAUGAUCCGCCACACUGGAACUGAGACACGGUCCAGACUCCUACGGGAGGCAGCAGUGGGGAAUUUUGGACAAUGGGCGCAAGCCUGAUCCAGCCAUGCCGCGUGAGUGAAGAAGGCCUCGGUUGUAAGUACUCUUUCGGUCCGGGUAACGGAAAGUACG